UAACCACCCAAAACCCAAGUCAGUUGAAGAUCAACACAAACCAAAUAAAGAUGCGCAUUCUACAAACAAUAAUAAAAGAUCAAGUUUUGUGUGCAACACACUUGGAUGAGACGUGCCCGAUCCCUGACUUUGUCUACCCUACAUUAAGUUGCACACUUCAUGACAGUAAAGAUCGGUAUCAAGAUGGUGUGAUUGAUCUAUACCCUGGCCUAGAAUAAGCUGUGACACUAUGAGACGGUCACAUAAUGAACAGCCAUCUUACAGACAACCGAAAGAGGCAUAG